AUCGCCGAUGAGAGACAUCUGGAAUACCACCAGAGCAGUGGGCCCGUGUAGCAUGUCCAGCCUUCUGUUGGCAGGCUGGAUAGCCUGGGAAAUGAUACCUGGUGAAGCUGCAGAACUCUGUCUCUUGCCACCCUCCAGGUCUUCAACCAGCCGGCCCCUGCUUCUUCAACUGUGACAUGAGCUUAUAUGUUAUCACAUUUAAUCAUCCUGAUAGCCUU
rnacentral:lncRNA from 10 species